UGGAGGGCUCAGCAUCCACCAGACAGGAGAUCAUCUACAGUGGCCCCCUCCACGGCUGUCCUGCCCAGGCUGCCUUCUUCCCUCACCAUGCGGGAUCCUGACCAGGAAGUCAUCCCUAAGCCUAGCAGCCAGGGGCUGAGCAGCCAGGCCAGACCCACAACAUCCAUCCUCUGCCCGACCUGCCCUGUUGCCUGGUCCUCCCGCCAUUGCUUCCCCUGCACGGAAGAUUGAGACCCCCUGGCAUGACACCAAGCGUGCUGAAGUGACCCACAUCAGGACCCAAGAGAGCCCUCAGUAGGCACUGAGUGGAUGCAUAAGCGACCUCCUUUGGCUUUCUGAAGAAGGUAUGUGAUUGUCCC